ensembl:processed_transcript
GCAGACAGGCAGGCAGCCUGCCGGGAGUCCUGUUGAAGCAUGCACAGAGCACACCUCUACCCGCACCCACCACCAGGACCCCUCGCCGUCACCUCCUUGAACCGGGAGGAUCCAGAGCCUGGACCGGGGUUCCCAGGGGUACUCUGCUCGCCGUGCCUCAACUCAUACCUGGAAGAAGAAAAUAAAAGAACACUGUGUGAAAGGCGAGAUAAAGCGGCAGGCGAAGUUAACCCGAUCCCACCAGCAUCGCCUAUUUGAGUCUCGCUAUGCUCUCAACAGCCCCGAGGAAUUAUCCCAUGAUUGCAUUAGAGUGGGAAGACUCGAAGCUGAGAGGCAAGCAGAACAAAAACUGCUAUAGAAAUUGCCCUAAGCUGAGGCGCCCUGCGUGAACCUUGUGGAUGUCUGGCGCAUGCCCAGGUGCCUCUCCAGUGCAUCUUGGUGCUGGCAGCACUGGGAUUCUGUACCGAACAUACCUGGGUUUUUGAGCAGCAAUGAGCAGCCAAAAACAAAACAAACAAAUGAAGCCAGGAGAGCAUUUGAGCCUACAGUUGGUUUGUGGGAGCAGAGGGGGAGGGGAGCUGGAUGAAAGGCCUCCUCGUGCUCUACCCCCACACACCCCUCCCUCCCCACACCACCCACCCCCACUCCGGUCUGCAGGAAGUUCCGUGUGCCUUCUGCUGAAGAGUUGGUAGCCUGUCUCCAUUGUCAUUAUCGGUGUUCCUGGGGUGAUAAUGCCAGAUGUUUG